rnacentral:miRNA from 1 species
UCAGCCUUUAUAAGGUGUGUGU